UACGAAGGGGGCUAGCGUUGUUCGGAAUUACUGGGCGUAAAGGGCGCGUAGGCGGUCCUGAUCGUCGGGAUGUGAAAGGCCUGGGCUCAACCUGGGAACUGCAUCCGAUACGGCGGGACUGGAGUGUGGGAGAGGUUGGUGGAAUUCCCAGUGUAGAGGUGAAAUUCGUAGAUAUUGGGGAAGAACACCGGUGGCGAAGGCGGCCAACUGGACCACACUGACGCUGAGGCGCGAAAGCGUGGGGAGCAAACAGGAUUGAG
rnacentral:rRNA from 1 species